rnacentral:lncRNA from 1 species
AAUUUUUUAUUUAUCCGAAUUUUUCUUUUCAAAUAGAAUUUUUGUAAUUCGAAAAUACUUUGUGAAAUUAUUUUAUGAAUUUUUAUUUACAAUUUUAAUUUUUUUUCUUCUGAGUUUUAGAAUCACUAAUAAUAAAGAAAAUAUAAAAUUAAAAUCAAUAGAAAUUUGUACAUCACUUUUAUGAUAACUUUUGGAACCAUUUAUAAAAAAGCUUCAAAAGCACUCGCUAUAGAAUUCCAU